rnacentral:rRNA from 1 species
AGUGAACGCUGGCGGUAGGCCUAACACAUGCAAGUCGAACGGCAGCACAGUAAGAGCUUGCUCUUACGGGUGGCGAGUGGCGGACGGGUGAGGAAUACAUCGGAAUCUACUUUUUCGUGGGGGAUAACGUAGGGAAACUUACGCUAAUACCGCAUACGACCUACGGGUGAAAGCAGGGGAUCUUCGGACCUUGCGCGAUUGAAUGAGCCGAUGUCGGAUUAGCUAGUUGGCGGGGUAAAGGCCCACCAAGGCGACGAUCCGUAGCUGGUCUGAGAGGAUGAUCAGCCAAAAUGGAACUGAGAAACGGUCCAGAAUCCUACGGGAGGGAGCAGUGGGGAAUAUUGGACAAUGGGCGCAAGCCUGAUCCAGCCAUAACGCGUGGGUGAAGAAGGCCUUUGGGUUGUAAAGCCCUUUUGUUGGGAAAGAAAAGCAGCAGGUUAAUACCCCGCUGUUCUGACGGUACCCAAAGAAUAAGCACCGGCUAACUUCGUG